CCGAUCGCCUUUGAUUCGAUAAUUGCCCUCACUUGGACAUAAUGGAUGCGAGUUUGUAAAACCAUCUCGCGUCCGUUCUGUUCAUGAGUGGGAGUUAUUUUAAAACGCAACUUCGGAAA
rnacentral:precursor_RNA from 14 species